rnacentral:misc_RNA from 1 species
CAUCCUCAAACCUUCUUGGUUUCUUGACCGGGAAGGCUUUGGACUUUGGAGGCUUUUGCUGGCCUUCUCUUGUUGAAGCCAGCUCCUCUCAAAUGAAUUAGUGGGGUCUGCUUUGCUGAUCCUUGACGUGAUAAAAUGCUUCUACGUCUUGGGUUAACUCUAGACUCUGCUUCUAACUGUCUUAUAGAAGACAAUGUUUGAGUGAUUGCCACUCAACACACAAGC